rnacentral:lncRNA from 1 species
CUCUUUGAAGGCGUUGUGGUUCUGCUGGCCUGUGCGCACAGGGUCCUGGUGCAGCACCCGACCUCUUCUGCAAGACUGAUGCUGGCGCCUCCGGAAAAUCGGCAGGACGACCUCGAAGGGGACUGAGAAGACAUGAAGCAAUUUCAAACCACUUCAAAAGGGGAGGGGCUUCAUAUCGAUUGCAAAAACUGUGAGAUCUGUUAUACGACUGCCUUUUUUGUUUAGCUGCCUUGGGAAUCCUGGGGUGUUCAAUCUAGCAUAGACUAUCUAGCUAUCAGGUCUAGAUAGAUAAGCUCACUAGUCCUGUUUCUUUAGGCUGUAACGAAUAUCUGGUAUUUCAGUUUUGCAUGAAAUGGAAAUGGGGUCAAGCCUUGUCUCGAAAAAAUUGGGAGGGAAUACAGUAUAGUUAAAGAAAUAGUAUACUACAGAUUGACCUUCUGUGGCAGAAACAAUAGUGCAAGUAAAACUGUGAAGGAAUAAUAUCUCCUCGUACUUGCGCAGAGAAAAAUACAGAAUCAACUGUAUCACUGGCUGAGCAUCCAGAUAAACCAUUUGUUCUGGUCUUCAGGCAUCUGGAAAGACAGAAUACCAGAAAAGUCAGUUAUAAAGCAGGCUCUUCAGGAACCUAGUCAUCAAUAUUGUUUAGAGUUGGUUCAUGGUCGUAACAAGAGUAGAAAUUAUGUUUACGUUGUCCAACCCACUCAUUCUGGCAUAUAUUCUGUUCUAGACAAAAUAGUCUUGUCUCAGCUGAAGCUGACGCUAAUUUCCAGCCCUGAAUGCCAGCGGAUACCCAUCUCAUGGCCAUCUUGCAAAAAACUAACAGACAGCAAAAGAGAUAAAGAUAAGAUAAUUUUUAACUAACAUGAGGCUGAACUUCGGCACCUGGAUAGAUAUUUUCUGCUCCCAUUAGCAAACUGUGAUGCCAUAUUUUUUCAAGCCCUAUUUUGCCAUACAUCAUUUUUACCAGCAGCACCACACAAGAUUCCAAGGACCGGCUAUUAAAAUUUCUAUUAGAAAGCCAACUACAGAAAACGGACACAAGAUUCCAGGUGGAACAUGGAAUGCCCUGUAUGUUCGUUACCUGAACGAGGGAAACAAUGGAUCAACAGUGUAACAUCAUCGACUGCAGUGCAGGCACUGAAAUAAAGUAGUACAGAGCCUACGAAUGGAAUAUAUUAAUUAAACUAUGAUAACAGCUUAUUACUUGCCCACCAGACUAAUCCUGAUUCAAGAAAAAUUUAUAGUGUUUCCUUUUGCAAUAAAAUCAUGUUGUGACUUAACCAUAUAGUAUUUUUUAACAAACAAAUACUGGACAUACCAUUACUUGGUAAGUUUUUAUUGGGUUAGAAGUCAUGCACAUCAUCAAAAUAUACAUACUUCAGAUUAGAUGCAACUAUAAUUAAUUGUACAAAAGCAAGAGACCCCCAAUAAUUGAACAAAAUUACAAAGAUAACCGAUGAGUGAUGUUCACACUUUACACCUAAAAACAAUAAAGAACCAUUUGGUCCGAAUCAUUAAACUGUAUGAUUGAAUACUGAAGUCACUUCCAGAAAAUAAAAUUUAAGGGCAUGAUUCAAGUACUUGACACAUCCAUCUUUAAAGACUGCAUGUUAAUGCUCUCGUGCUGACUGUAGGUCCUGGGUCAAAAGCAUCUCAAAGGAAGCUGCUCCACAUAUGCGAUCACCACACCUCCAUGUACAUAACAUGCAGAUGAGGGCUCCAACGCUAGAAAAUGCCAAUUGCCUAUCUUGGCCAAUUGAUCAUGCCACUGCCAAAUUCCAAUUAUCUUUAAGUGCAAAACUAGGAUUUGUUCUUAUAAGCUCAUACUUCAAAACAUAUGAGUAGAACCAGGAAACGAGUUGAUCCUAAGAAGCUAAGGAACAAAUUGAACAUGCAAGUAGGAAACAAUCUGCCAGAUAUCUUACUAGUAACAACUGAAAGAAAACAUUGUCUUUAAGAGGCAAAAUAGCUAAAUAAAAGACUGCAAUUCACCAGAAUACCAUAUGCCAAUGCAGGAAAAUAGUGCUAUCUCACCUUCCGAACAUAUAAGAGCUUCCUGAACUAGUGCUGAAUAGAUACGUAUGCAUCAAUCACCGACAAUGGUCAGUGCCAUGACAACCAUCACAUUGUAAGCUCAGAAUCAGAAAUGCUGAGUACAAUUCAAAGGUUGUUGUAGCCUCUGUAGUCUGUACUUCUGAGAUACAUCUUUUACCUAGUUCAUCAGGUCAUAAACAGAAGUGAACCUAUGUGUGUCUUUACUGUCUUAUAUGUCAAGUAUUGCCAAUCCACACUGCCCUAAUAUAACCUGGUAGAAACUCCCAUAUUAAUUGUACAGCCCAUAGUUAAUGGAGCUAUCUGGUUUAUGCAGAGACAAGAGAAUGAGGUAUGGUAUGUUGUAAUUUCAAGUACUUUCAAUAUUCAUAUGGCAUGGUGAAGCAACAUUAUCACAAUUAACUUACAUCUCUGGAGGAACUAGGCAGCAAAAUUAAACACAGCAUAAUAGGCAGACAGUAAUUGCAUAUACAUAUUGCUAGUGUCUAACGCUGAUGACUAAUUCAGUUGGCAACAUCUUAUCCAAGUGCAGCUUUACGGAAGAUAAAAGAAGAAUGCUUUCUAUAGGCAGCUUGGAAUCAACACUGUAAGAACCUCCUUAUUCUUUAUCAUCAUCAUGGCAACUAUCACUAGCAUCACCAUCAAUAUCAUCAUCCUCACUAUUUUCAACAAUGUGUGCAAGGGAAUUGGCUUGCAACUUUUUGAACUGGCUUAUAAAGUCAGUUGCUUCUGAGAUGAGAGCAUUUUUUGCAG